AUCUCCGUCGUAUAGUGGUUAUUACAUCACGUUGUGGUGUUUCCUCAGCGUUGCCGUGAAAACGUGUGUUCGAUUCACACCGGGGAUA